rnacentral:rRNA from 1 species
GACGAACGCUGGCGGCGUGCUUAACACAUGCAAGUCGAACGGAAAGGCCCUGCUUUUGUGGGGUGCUCGAGUGGCGAACGGGUGAGUAACACGUGAGUAACCUGCCCUUGACUUUGGGAUAACUUCAGGAAACUGGGGCUAAUCCCGGAUAGGAGCUCCUGCUGCAUGGUGGGGGUUGGAAAGUUUCGGCGGUUGGGGAUGGACUCGCGGCUUAUCAGCUUGUUGGUGGGGUAGUGGCUUACCAAGGCUUUGACGGGUAGCCGGCCUGAGAGGGUGACCGGCCACAUUGGGACUGAGAUACGGCCCAGACUCCUACGGGAGGCAGCAGUGGGGAAUAUGGCACAAUGGGCGGAAGCCUGAUGCAGCAACGCCGCGUGCGGGAUGACGGCCUGCGGGUUGUAAACCGCUUUCGCCUGUGACGAAGCGUGAGUGACGGUAAUGGGUAAAGAAGCACCGGCUAACUACGUG